rnacentral:rRNA from 1 species
GGGAGCUUGCUCCCAGGCGUCGAGCGGCGGACGGGUGAGUAAUGCAUAGGAAUCUGCCCGAUAGUGGGGGAUAACCUGGGGAAACCCAGGCUAAUACCGCAUACGUCCUACGGGAGAAAGCAGGGGCUCUUCGGACCUUGCGCUAUCGGAUGAGCCUAUGUCGGAUUAGCUGGUUGGUGAGGUAAUGGCUCACCAAGGCGACGAUCCGUAGCUGGUCUGAGAGGAUGAUCAGCCACAUCGGGACUGAGACACGGCCCGAACUCCUACGGGAGGCAGCAGUGGGGAAUAUUGGACAAUGGGCGAAAGCCUGAUCCAGCCAUGCCGCGUGUGUGAAGAAGGCCCUCGGGUUGUAAAGCACUUUCAGUGGGGAAGAAAGCCUUGGGGCUAAUACCCUCGAGGAAGGACAUCACCCACAGAAGAAGCACCGGCUAACUCCGUGCCAGCAGCCGCGGUAAUACGGAGGGUGCGAGCGUUAAUCGGAAUUACUGGGCGUAAAGCGCGCGUAGGUGGCUUGAUAAGCCGGUUGUGAAAGCCCCGGGCUCAACCUGGGAACGGCAUCCGGAACUGUCAGGCUAGAGUGCAGGAGAGGAAGGUAGAAUUCCCGGUGUAGCGGUGAAAUGCGUAGAGAUCGGGAGGAAUACCAGUGGCGAAGGCGGCCUUCUGGACUGACACUGACACUGAGGUGCGAAAGCGUGGGUAGCAAACAGGAUUAGAUACCCUGGUAGUCCACGCCGUAAACGAUGUCGACUAGCCGUUGGGAGCCUCGAGUUCUUAGUGGCGCAGUUAACGCGAUAAGUCGACCGCCUGGGGAGUACGGCCGCAAGGUUAAAACUCAAAUGAAUUGACGGGGGCCCGCACAAGCGGUGGAGCAUGUGGUUUAAUUCGAUGCAACGCGAAGAACCUUACCUACCCUUGACAUCGUGCGAACUUGGUAGAGAUACCUUGGUGCCUUCGGGAACGCACAGACAGGUGCUGCAUGGCUGUCGUCAGCUCGUGUUGUGAAAUGUUGGGUUAAGUCCCGUAACGAGCGCAACCCUUGUCCCUAUUUGCCAGCGAUUCGGUCGGGAACUCUAGGGAGACUGCCGGUGACAAACCGGAGGAAGGUGGGGACGACGUCAAGUCAUCAUGGCCCUUACGGGUAGGGCUACACACGUGCUACAAUGGUCGGUACAAAGGGUUGCAAAGCGGCGACGUGGAGCUAAUCCCAGAAAGCCGGUCUCAGUCCGGAUCGGAGUCUGCAACUCGACUCCGUGAAGUCGGAAUCGCUAGUAAUCGUGAAUCAGAAUGUCACGGUGAAUACGUUCCCGGGCCUUGUACACACCGCCCGUCACACCAUGGGAGUGGACUGCACCAGAAGUGGUUAGCCUAACUUCGGAGGGCGAUCA